rnacentral:tRNA from 1 species
AGCUUUAUAGUCAACAAUGAUAUUAAAUUGCAAAUUUAAAGGAAAACUUAAAGUUUUAAAGCUU